AAUUCAGAAAUGAUCAGUUUAUUGCUCCCGAUCAGAAUGUCGGGCUCUCUCAUUUUCUUCCGAACCGCACCGAAAUAAAAGUUGUGCUUUGGAAACAUGAAAAAACGCGGAUGAGAAAAAGAAGGAUGUAG
ensembl:ncRNA T24D8.15 ncRNA